ACGAAAAACACACAUCCAUAAGCAAUUGUAAGAUCUCUAAGAGUUUAAGUUAAUUGUGUCCACUACUUGUUUCUAAAUAUUUCCAAGUUCAAAAGCAAAAAACCAUGGACGAAAAUCAGAAAUUGAGCUACGAUAUUGGCGUAGCUAAGGGCCAAGCCCAGGAAAAAGGUAAUCAAUUGAUGGAGAAGGUUGGGACUGCUGUGCAGUCUGCCAAGGAAACAGUGCAAGAGGUGGGGCAGCAAGUGAAGACCAAAACACUAGUAACAGCAGAUGCCGUUACAAUGCCACUGGCAUGAACAAAUAAACCACGUUAAUUUCUACCAUAUUAUCGUUUAUGAAGAUCUUAAUUUCUUCUACUUCAAUUGGGUUACCAAUUUAUGUUGCUUAAGUUUGAAUUAUUGGUGAGAACUUCUGCGGUUCUGAAUAAUAUUUAAGAAGCAGCGUCUCUAAUAAUGUUUUGUUCUUAUUAUAUCAGAACUUUUCUCAAGAUUACAACGACAACCUGAAGGAAAUAAUAAUUACUAUUUCUUAUCAAUAAUAUUCCUUCAUCUAUUACGGAAUUAAAUGUUUUUUACAUGAUAGUUUUAUUUAUGCGUCAAAUAGUAUGGAAACAAUUUCGUAUAACCACUAAUGAUUUGACUAGGGGAAAAUGAGCAUAUGAAAAUAUUAUGUGUUU